UUUUCUGUGUCUUUUGCAGGCGUUAUGGAUGCCACUAUAUUUGACAAGUGUUCAGAGGGUGAAGUUCACCAGUGGUGGGCGAGCAGGGCAAGACUAAGUAAGUCCUAAGAGAAAACAGGUUCCCUGGCCUGUGGAGUAAGUUAGCUGUCGGCAGUAAAUAGCUGCCUGUGUGGUACUGGGCCACUGGGCAGGCAGAAAUAACGAGGACUGAAGAUCGAGCCAGCUGGAGCUUCACUUCACACAGCAUGACUCUGCUCGACUUUCUAAUGGCCAGCGUUUUGUUAUGUGUAAGAAAACUUGGGUCAGUUUUCUGUCAGUUGUCUCUCAGGCCUAAAGUAGAGGAAUCUUUAUUAGUACCAAAAGUGCUGAUCUGGAAAUGAAGGCCUGGGCAAGAGGAUGUUACACAACAUGCACAUGGUUCAGCAGUCGACAUAUGGGAACAGACCGGAGCCUCAUCAGAUCAGGGAUUAUUUUAAUGUCAGCAGAUAAAAUAUUGCAGUUGGUUAUCCAAUAAAAUAAUGUAGUGCAAUCACAAAAAGGCUAAAUUGGCAUUAUGAUAAAUGUUCUUUGCUAAUUUAAGCUGAUAAACACAAUAAUUCAGAAUUAUAGCAAUUCAAACUGAGAAAUGUUGCAUAAGUGAUCUUGACUAUUGUGACAGAGCUUAGUGCUAAGUAAACAUCUUCAUGCGCAUGUGUGCAUUUAUGGAUGUGUGUGUGUGUGUGUAUUUUGAUGUUUGCUGCACUGACGUGUGUUUGCAGAACAAAUGGCUUAGUGGAGUACAAGCAUGGCCAGUUGUAUUUGUCUGCUGCAAGCCCCCCUUCCAAUCUGGUAUCACCAGAGCACAUUGUCUGAGUCACCCAAGUGUGUUUGCAUGUGUGUGUGAGACUUAAGCUGGAACUUAUUGUGAAUUGUAAGAAAUUGGUCAAAAAGCAAAUGCACCAUGUUUCUCUGAGCUCUUUUUUUUUUAAAAAAAUUUUGAACAACAGCCAUGCAGCAGUCAUGUAGCAUGAAGUGAUUGUGGCGAAGCUGGAUGUGGUUAUUGGAUGCCGUAAUAUACUGCCUGCGGUGAGGCCAAAUAUUACAUCAGGCUGAAGUGCUUAAACAACAAAGACCGUUACAGAACAGAGAACAACUAUUUUUACUCAGACCAGAAACAUCCAUUUAAUCCUGGACAGAGAAAGAAGAAAAAUCAGGUUAAAAAACUUUAAAGAGCAUAUAUACUGAUUCUACGUCACAGGGAUGUCGUUGUGUUGGUGGAAACAACAGAAACAAAUAUAUUACCCUGUAUGUGGACCAUCACUUAAAGAAAAAAAGGGGGAAAAAACUAUAAAAAUACAAUAAUAUGUUCUUCAAAUCAGUGACCCCUGAAAUCCAAUGAUGCGUACAAUAAAUGUUCAAACGCGCAGCCCAGCAGCUUACGCAACAGUCCAUAUGUGUGGAAGUAAUCAAUCAGUCAAUCAAUUGUUCUGCAGAGCUGAUGGGACUUGAUGUGUCCAGUGAUAAUUCUCUUCACAUUUUGUUUUGUUUUUUUUUUUAUUGUGUCUUUUAUCCCCUGAUGAUAAUAAAAAAUAUUAAAUGUAGCCGUUUUAAACAGACAACAGCUCCUCGUUAAACUUAUGCACACCUGGCAGAAUUCAAA